UACGUAGGGUGCGAGCGUUAAUCGGAAUUACUGGGCGUAAAGCGUGCGCAGGCGGCGCGUUAAGACAGGUGUGAAAGCCCCGAGCUUAAUUUGGGAAUUGCGUUUGUGACUGGCGUGCUGGAGUGUGGCAGAGGGAGGUGGAAUUCCACGUGUAGCAGUGAAAUGCGUAGAGAUGUGGAGGAACACCGAUGGCGAAGGCAGCCUCCUGGGCCAGCACUGACGCUCAUGCACGAAAGCGUGGGGAGCAAACAGG
rnacentral:rRNA from 1 species